GACGAACGCUGGCGGCGUGCUUAACACAUGCAAGUCGAACGAUGAAGCUGGAGCUUGCUCCGGUGGAUUAGUGGCGAACGGGUGAGUAACACGUGAGUAACCUGCCCUUGACUCUGGGAUAACUGCGGGAAACUGUAGCUAAUACCGGAUAUGACCUCGGAAGGCAUCUUCUGAGGUGGAAAGUUUUUCGGUCAAGGAUGGACUCGCGGCCUAUCAGCUUGUUGGUGAGGUAAUGGCUCACCAAGGCAACGACGGGUAGCCGGCCUGAGAGGGUGACCGGCCACACUGGGACUGAGACACGGCCCAGACUCCUACGGGAGGCAGCAGUGGGGAAUAUUGCACAAUGGGCGAAAGCCUGAUGCAGCAACGCCGCGUGAGGGACGAAGGCCUCGGUUGUAAC
rnacentral:rRNA from 1 species